rnacentral:rRNA from 1 species
CAAAGGGAGCGAUUCCGGCAACGGAUGGGCAUGCGUGACAUUAGCUAGUUGGCGGGGCAACGGCCCACCAAGGCGACGAUGUCUAGGGGUUCUGAGAGGAAGGUCCCCCACACUGGUACUGAGACACGGACCAGACUCCUACGGGAGGCAGCAGUGAGGAAUAUUGGUCAAUGGGCGCGAGCCUGAACCAGCCAAGUCGCGUGAGGGAUGACGGCCCUACGGGUUGUAAACCUCUUUUGUCGGGGAGCAAAUUCCGCCACGUGUGGCGGAGUCGAGAGUACCCGAAGAAAAAGCAUCGGCUAACUCCGUGCCAGCAGCCGCGGUAAUACGGAGGAUGCGAGCGUUAUCCGGAUUUAUUGGGUUUAAAGGGUGCGUAGGCGGACUGUCAAGUCAGCGGUAAAAUACGGGGGCUCAACCUCCGCCCGCCGUUGAAACUGACGGUCUUGAGUGGGCGAGAAGUAUACGGAAUGCGUGGUGUAGCGGUGAAAUGCAUAGAUAUCACGCAGAACUCCGAUUGCGAAGGCAGCAUACCGGCGCCCAACUGACGCUGAAGCACGAAAGCGUGGGUAUCGAACAGGAUUAGAUACCCUGGUAGUCCACGCAGUAAACGAUGAAUACUAGCUGUCCGGGGCGAAUGAGCCCUGG